GUAGGCUGAAACUCGCCUACAUGAAGCUGGAGUUACUAGUAAUCGCAGAUCAGAAUGCUGCGGUGAAUGCGUUCCCGGGUCUUGUACACACCGCCCGUCACACCACGGAAGUUGGGGCGCCCGAAGCCACUUAUCUAACCCUUUUGGGAAGCGAGUGUCGAAGGUGAAAUCAAUAACUGGGGUGAAGUCGUAACAAGGUAAC
rnacentral:rRNA from 1 species